rnacentral:rRNA from 1 species
AUUGAACGCUGGCGGCAGGCCUAACACAUGCAAGUCGAGCGGUAGAGAGGUGCUUGCAUCUCUUGAGAGCGGCGGACGGGUGAGUAAUGCCUAGGAAUCUGCCUAGUGGUGGGGGAUAACGUUCGGAAACGGACGCUAAUACCGCAUACGUCCUACGGGAGAAAGCGGGGGGAUCUUCGGACCUCGCGCCAUUAGAUGAGCCUAGGUCGGAUUAGCUAGUUGGUGAGGUAAUGGCUCACCAAGGCGACGAUCCGUAACUGGUCUGAGAGGAUGAUCAGUCACACUGGAACUGAGACACGGUCCAGACUCCUACGGGAGGCAGCAGUGGGGAAUAUUGGACAAUGGGCGAAAGCCUGAUCAGCCAUGCCGCGUGUGUGAAGAAGGUACUUCGGAUUGUAAAGCACUUUAAGUUU